rnacentral:rRNA from 1 species
CAGCAGCCGCGGGAAUACGUAGGUGGCAAGCGUUGUCCGGAAUUACUGGGCGUAAAGGGCUCGCAGGCGGUUUCUUAAGUCUGAUGUGAAAGCCCCCGGCUCAACCGGGGAGGGUCAUUGGGAACUGGGAAACUUGAGUGCAGAAGAGGAGAGUGGAAUUCCACGUGUAGCGGUGAAAUGCGUAGAGAUGUGGAGGAACACCAGUGGCGAAGGCGACUCUCUGGUCUGUAACUGACGCUGAGGAGCGAAAGCGUGGGGAGCGAACAGGAUUAGAUACCCCCGUAGUCCCUGUCUCUUAUAC